rnacentral:tRNA from 1 species
GGUCCAGUAGCUCAGCUGGAUAGAGCAGCAGCCUUCUAAGCUGCGGGUCACAGGUUCGAGUCCUGUCUGGAUCACCA